AUGCGUCCUCGUCCGCUUUUGCAUGUUGACCGCCUUAGUCUUUCAAGCGUUGGCGUUGUUGUUCUUGGGCCGACUUCUUAUCUUGAUGUUGUUCAUACCAAAUGGCACCUUAUCAUGGUAGAGGAUAUUGCUACUAUUGAGCGCAUCGGCACGUGGGAUAUUGUUUCUCUUCCUCCUGGUCUGUCUCUUAGCUUGAUGUCAAGAAUGGCUACAUGUAGCCACCACCUGGGUCUCUUCCUGAGGGCAUUGUUUUGUCAUCUUCGUCUCUCUCUAUAUAUAUAUGGCCCUAAGCAAACCCCUCGUGCCUAA
rnacentral:rRNA from 1 species